AGCGGCGGACGGGUGAGUAACGCGUGGACAAUCUACCCUGUAGACUGGGAUAACACCUCGAAAGGGGUGCUAAUACCGGAUAAUGUCGAGAAGCGGCAUCGCUUUUCGAAGAAAGGAGGGAAUCCGCUAUAGGAGGAGUCCGCGUCCCAUUAGCUAGUUGGUGAGGGUAACGGCCCACCAAGGCGACGAUGGGUAGCCGGCCUGAGAGGGUGAACGGCCACACUGGAACUGAGACACGGUCCAGACUCCUACGGGAGGCAGCAGUGGGGAAUAUUGUGCAAUGGGGGAAACCCUGACACAGCAACGCCGCGUGAGCGAAGAAGGCCUUCGGGUUGUAAAGCUCAAUAGUAUGGGAAGAUAAUGACGGUACCAUACGAAAGCCCCGGCUAACUACGUGCCAGCAGCCGCGGUAAUACGUAGGGGGCGAGCGUUGUCCGGAAUUACUGGGCGUAAAGAGCACGUAGGCGGCUAUAUAAGUCAGGUGUGAAAAACCUGGGCUUAACCGAGGGUAUGCAUCUGAAACUAUAUAGCUUGAGUCAAGGAGAGGAGAGCGGAAUUCCUGGUGUAGCGGUGAAAUGCGUAGAGAUCAGGAAGAAUACCAGUGGCGAAAGCGGCUCUCUGGACUUGAACUGACGCUGAGGUGCGAAAGCGUGGGGAGCGAACAGGAUUAGAUACCCUGGUAGUC
rnacentral:rRNA from 1 species